CUUCAAUGUAAUCAUUGCUGAAAAUAAAGUUCCUUCAUGUUAUAAUCAAUUUCCCAGAAAAUUUUUAAUGUCAUAUUUAACAAUAGUAGGUUCACUCUCAGAUGCUUACAAUAAAUAAAUGCUAUCAUUGCUGAAAAUAAAAUUUCUUCAUCUUAUCAGUAAUUUCUCAGAAACUGUUCAAUGUCAUAUUUAACUCUCAGAUGCUUGCAUAAAUUUAACCUGCUAUAUAUCAUGUAAUGAAGUUGUAGAAUUGUCUUUUUUGUUUUUAUAAAUUACAUUUAGAAAUACAGAACCAUAGUAAAAAUCAAUUACCUGAACAAGGCUUUAAGGCUCAUGAGUUUCUAAAAAAGAAACAGGUCAUUGCUUCAAUAGACACUUCUACAUGUUAGAUUUUGAAGAGCCUAUAUGUCAGAGUCUGUCAAUGACAACAGUCAGUAUGGAAGAAGACGCAAAGUUCCAAUAUAGCAUAUAAGUAUAUGUAAAAAAGUCACUACAAUGACACUCUUUUUUCACUUAAAGAUGCAUUGUGUAAAUAAUUGUCUCAAAAGAAAAAUUCUAAAGGAUUACAUGUCCUUUUCCACUAGAAAAUACAUUUUGAAGUUUAAAAAAUCUGAAGUUUCAAAAUCUAUUGUGAUCUACCACAAAAAUAAAAGACAUUUUUCAAUUGCCGAAAUAAAAAUAAUUUGAUACUCUUUUACUUAUUUAUUAGCAGUUUAUUUGUUUACCUAAAAAAAUAAUAACUAAAAAAUUCAUUUUUUAGCCCGCCCGACUAAAAAAAAUCAGAAACCCCCAAAAAAAUACAAAUAAUUAAACUAAGUUAACACAUAGAAUCAAGUGCAAAAUUGUGUUGCAUUUAACAUUUACUGUGGAUUCAUUCAUCUUCAUGAGUACCAAUUUUUAUUGAAAUUUAGGAAAACUACAUUUUCCUGGAUAUUUGAAAUCAUGGUUUUUCAAAAGUAUGCAUAAUUAAACUCAUCAUAGAUACCAGGAUUGCAAUUUUAUAUUUAUGUCAGAUGAGCGUUUUUCGUUUACAAAAGACUCAUCAGUGACGCUGGAAUAAAAAAAUGUUAAAAAGGCCAAAUAAAGUAAUUUGAAGAUUUAAAUUUGUGGUUCACCUGUCCCAGGAAAACCAUGAAAUAAUGUAUCUUAAGAAUAUUGAUGAAUCUGCAGAUCCACAGAAAUAUGAUGACUGUGUGAGGAUUAAUACAAAUAUCAUCAGCAAUGGGAUGAUUUCUAGAUUAUCUCAUUUUUUUUGGUUAUUUAUGUUCUACAGUUCUGUUUCUUUACAUGGGAUUAAAAAUUAUAUUUACUUUAUCCAAAUAGUUGUAUUAACAGAUGAACUAGAGCCUUUAACUAUAGAUCAAUGUUCUUAAUCAAUGAUAAUUUGAAAUGUAGAAUCCUUCUACAUUUGUAGUUAGAAUGUUUGUACUAAUAAUUAUGAACUGUCUAGAUUUUCGAUUGCUUCAUCUAUAUAACUUUGCAGUGUUAUUAGUACAUCAAUUAAAUCUGAAAAAAAACUAUGAUUUGAAAUAUAAGCUGAUUUGUUAUAUUUCUUUGCCAGAUAUAAUUUAUAAUUAAGUUGUUUAUAUAACUCUGCAGCUGUGUUCGUCAAUGGACAGAUAUAGUAUCAUUGAUGUCUAGCAAUCAAUUCUGUUCAAACAUGUGCUACCUUAUAAAGACCUUGAAAUAAUAUGAAUAGGAAUGCUAAGGGUUGUAUCUGACUUCAAUUUCAUUCAAUUCUACUGUAUUUUCACUUUAAUGAUAUAAUAAGGCAGAGAUUUAAACAGUUUGUUUGGCAAUUGAGUUUCUAUUUAAUCAAUUGAAGCCAUAUUGACUAAAGUAUAACAAUUUCUAAAUAUAUCAAAAUACAAUUUCCUUAUUAUUGUACGUGAUCUGAAUAUUAUCAGAAGCAUAUCAAACAAAUUUACUUUACUGUAUUCUUUAAUAUUUUAUGUUCACAUAAUUCGUAUUUAGUUAUUAAACAAAUUUUUUGUGACAAUCAUUGUAUGCUUAAACAAGUUGUAAAUUAACAACAUUUACCAGUAACGCUGCUAUUUGAUUUCACUGUGGUAUGUUUUUUUUUUCAUAAACAUCAGUUUACAAAAUACAGCAUAUAAUACAUUACCAUUCAUUAUACAGAUUUAUUUGUGUUUGCUUAACUAAUUUGCAUUUUGAAAGGUUAUGCUGGAAUAAACCCUCAGAAACAAUUUCUAUAAAUGAGGAAGAUUGACUUGAAAAAACGUAUUGCAGAUUAUGGAGUAAUCUCCCUUCACAGAUUUUUCAUAUAACUUCUACAUGAUAUAUAUAUUUCACUUGAAUUCAUUUAAGAAAAAGAAAAAAAAGCUUUAAAUACAACUUUGCAUUCUGAACAAAAUAUCAUGAUGAUAAUAAGCAGGCUUUCCAUGCAUCAUCAUCUAUACAAAAUUUAAAGAUGAAAUUUUAAAAGGGUAUUUGAGUAGUGGUUGUUAGUUUUAGCAAAAAUUGUGUAACACUGAUUAAGACUUACACAAUCUGCAUUUUUAAAUGGAUAUGUAUGAUUCAUAUUGCCCAUAUGAAUUAGAAAAGGUAAGAACCCUAUGCCUAAUUAGAAUAAUUCCAUAAUGAUCGUCACUGGCCAGUCCUGCAUUACCGGUACCCCAUCCUAUAACUAUUUUAAUUGAUGAUGAAAACAUAUAUAGCUAUUGUUUAUUUGUAGUCUGAAAGCAUUCAAGACCAAACCAAGAAAAAAACAUUUUUAAAAUAUUCAAUGAAAUUAUUUUUUGUAUGGCUAAUUACAAUAAAAUAUUUGUUUUCACAUUUUUUCUUUUAAAGAUAUUUGUUUUGUUAAAAAGAAAUGUAUGACUAUUGGGUAAAAUACUUACUAUAUCUGUAAAUAACAACCAGUUGGUACACAAUUACAUGUACCAUUUAGGAAGAAUAAAGUAUAAUUCUUGCUUGAUGAAUGAAUCCAGAGACAUAUAUGUCUUUGGUGACUAUGUAAUUACUUUUAAAAACUUUAAAAAAAAUCAUUAAACCACAAAUGUAAAGAAAAUGGGCCAUCAGGUCAUAGAAAAUUAAUAAGUAUUUUGAUACUCGUUGCAUGUUUUUGUAAUAUAUCUAACCAAUUCAUUCUGUUUUAUUUUACCCGUGAGUGCCAGUUUAAUUAAAAGUUUUUUAUUAUGUUACAUAUUGGUUAAAUUUCAUUAUAUUUAAGUAAGAAUCAUCUUACAUAGCAAUUUUGGAUCAAUGGUCUUAGAAUAUACAAAACCAGAGCUGAUUACUAGUUUAUACUAAAUCUGAGACAAAUACUAGUUUUUACAAAACAUGAAUUAAAGAAGGAAGAAGCACUUGUUGCAAUUAAAACUUUAAUACAGUAUUAUAUGCAGUGUUGGUCAACUGUUAUAUAUCAUUUGUUGAUUUUCCAAAUAAAUUAUUUUGUUAUCAACCUG
rnacentral:lncRNA from 1 species